rnacentral:rRNA from 1 species
UACGUAGAGUACAAGCGUUGUCCGGAAUUAUUGGGCGUAAAGAGCUCGUAGGCGGUUUGUCGCGUCUGCUGUGAAAACUCAGGGCUUAACCCUGAGCCUGCAGUGGGUACGGGCAGACUAGAGUGUGGUAGGGGAGAUCGGAAUUCCUGGUGUAGCGGUGGAAUGCGCAGGAUAUCAGGAGGAACACCGAUGGCGAAGGCAGGUCUCUGGGCCAUAACUGACGCUGAGAAGCGAAAGCAUGGGGAGCGAACAGG